AUCAUGUACCAGAACCACCUACUCAGCAGUUCAUAGCAUCAUCAAUUGCUAUAGAAAGUUCAGGGGCUGAUACUGCAGAAGAGUUUUCAGCUGUGGAAGAUGAAGGUGAAAUAAAGUCGGUUUAUGUGAGAAACUUGUCACCUACUGUUUCUGCUUCUGAAAUUGAGGAGGAAUUUAGGAAGUUUGGUGAACUCAAGCCUGAUGCUGUGGCCAA
rnacentral:misc_RNA from 1 species